rfam:Picea glauca, whole genome shotgun sequence.
CUCAGUGAUGAAGGAAGUACGAGUGCAAAGACAGCUAGGAGGUUUGCCUAGAAGCAGCCAACCUUGAAAGAGUGCGUAAUAGCUCACUGAUCGAGCGCUCUUGCGCCAAAGAUGAAUGGGACUAAGCGAUCUGUCGAAGCUGUGGGAUGUAAAAAUACAUCAGUAGGGGAGCAUUCUGCCUCAGAGGGAAGCACCAGAGCAAGCAGGUGUGGAUGAAGCUGAAGAGAGAAUGUCAGCUUGAGUAACGCAAACAUUGGUGAGAAUCCAAUGCCCCAAAAACCUAAGGGUUCCUCUGCAAGGUUCAUCCAUGGAGGGUGAGUUAGGGCCUAAUAUUAGGCCGAAAGGUGUAGUCGAUGGACAACAGGUUAAUAUUCCUGUACUACCCCUUGUUGGUCCCAAGGGACGGAGGAGGCUAGGUUAGCCAAAAGAUGGUUAUCGGUUCAAGGACGCAAGGUGACCCUGCUUUUUUCAGGGUAAGAAGGGGUAGAGAAAAUGCCUCGAGCCAAUGUCCGAGUACCAAGCGCUACAACACUGAAGUAACCCAUGCCAUACUCCCAGAAAAAUCUUGAACGACCUUUAACAAAUGGGUACCUGUACCCGAAACCAACACAGGUAGGUAGGUAGAGAAUACCUAGGGGCACGAGACAACUCUCUCUAAGGAACUCGGCAAAAUAGCCCCGUAACUUUGGGAGAUAUAAAUAGCCCGGGCGACUGUUUACCAAAAACACAGGUCUCCGUAAAGUCGUAAGACCAUGUAUGGUGGCUAACGCCUACCCAGUGCCAGAAGGUUAAGGAAGUUGGUGACCUGAUGAUGGGGAAGCCAGUGACCGAAGCCCUAGUGAAUGAUGGUUGUAACUAUAACGGUCCUAAGGUAGCGAAAUUACUUGUCGGGUAAGUUUCUACCUGCGCGAAAGGCGUAACGAUCUGGGCACUGUCUCAGAGAGAGACUCGGUGAAAUAGACAUGUCUGUGAAUAUGCAGACUACCUGAUAGUACUUUUACUCUUACGGGUAGACGUUAGUAGACGCUGGGUAGCCAAGUGCAGAGCGGAUAACUACUGAAAACAUAUAAGUAGGAAGCCCACCCCAAGAUGAGUGCUAUCCUAUUCUUACUUCCCUGAGAGCCCUAGUCACGAACACGGCUGGGACAAUGAUGUGUUCUCUGUCCUUGCAGGGGAUGGAGAGACAAAAGAAUUGAGAAUCCAAGAUAAGGUCACGACAAGACGAGCCAUUUAUCAUUACGAUAGGUGUCAAGUGGAAGUGCAGUGAUGUAUGCAACUGAGGCAUCCUAACAAACCGAGAUAUUUGAACCU